rnacentral:misc_RNA from 1 species
AACGCACAUUGCGCCCGCCAGUAUUCUGGCGGGCAUGCCUGUUCGAGCGUCAUUUCAACCCUCAGGCCCCCAGUGCCUGGCGUUGGGGAUCGGCACAACCGCCCUCCGGGGCGGCGCCGGCCCCGAAAUCUAGUGGCGGUCUCGCUGUAGUCCUCCUCUGCGUAGUAGCACAACCUCGCACUGGAACGCGGCGGCGACCAUGCCGUGAAACACCCCACUUCUGAAAGUUGACCUCGGAUCAGGUAGGAAUACCCGCUGAACUUAA